rnacentral:lncRNA from 1 species
CUCCUACCACUUGUGGCACAUUGGGCUAUGCACGUGGAAAAGCUGAAAUUCUUAAAAGGAAACCAGGAGGCUUCUAGGACCCAGAAGCUGAGAUGCUUUCCAAGCUUCAGGCUGCCUCUUACCCUUCACUGCAGUAGAUCUGUGCAUCAGCUACAGUGGACAAGAAGCAACAGAGAGGUACCCAGUAUGCUAGAAACCUGCACAAGGGAAGGAGAGAUGGAGCCAUAGAUCUCAGAGGGGAAGCUUCCUGCAUUUGAGAGAAGAAGAUACCAUUUGUUUGGGGAAAAGUGUGAAGAAACACAGUGAGGAUCUGUACAGUUAAGAAGGAAGGAACUCUUCUUCAGAACCACAACAGAUCUCGUUAUCUUUUUAUAUCACUAUGCUGUUAUAUGAAGUACCGGGAAGAUAAGACGAAAACAAUCAUGCUUAGUAUGGUCCACCAGGGAAUAAUGGCUUAUAGAACUGAAUGACAUUAGAAAGACUUGUUGGUCUGUUCAAGAGUCCUUUUUAAAACUAACAAAGAAGACAGCAAGAAUGUCACUCCAGGGUCCAGGACUGCUCCUUCUGUGCUACCACUGUUGAUUCUCUGUGAUUACUCAGUAGGAACCUAGAAUAGGAUGGGUGAUGGACUUAU